rnacentral:rRNA from 1 species
GACGAACGCUGGCGGCGUGCUUAACACAUGCAAGUCGAACGAUGAAGCGCCAGCUUGCUGGUGUGGAUUAGUGGCGAACGGGUGAGUAACACGUGAGUAACCUGCCCCCUACUCUGGGAUAAGCCUGGGAAACUGGGUCUAAUACUGGAUAUGACCAAUCACUGCAUGGUGUGUUGGUGGAAAGAUUUUUUGGUGGGGGAUGGACUCGCGGCCUAUCAGCUUGUUGGUGGGGUAAUGGCCUACCAAGGCGACGACGGGUAGCCGGCCUGAGAGGGCGACCGGCCACACUGGGACUGCGACACGGCCCAGACUCCUACGGGAGGCAGCAGUGGGGAAUAUUGCACAAUGGGCGAAAGCCUGAUGCAGCGACGCCGCGUGAGGGAUGACGGCCUUCGGGUUGUAAACCUCUUUCACCAGGGACGAAGCUAACGUGACGGUACCUGGAGAAGAAGCACCGGCUAACUACGUG